CGGUGCCCUGGCGCUCUGUCUCACCCGUGCUCUCUCUUUCCCCUGCAGGCCGCCGAGCGCCUGAGGACUCUGCCCGAGGAGCAUUACAGGGUGAGGCCGCGUGAGGCGGCGUGACGAGCGGUGCCGGCCGAGGAGGGGAGCUGGCACGUUGCAGAGCGGCCACCGGCCGCAUGCGGGACUCGGUUCCUUUGUUUUGCUGACCAGUGGGAAUUGAGCUGGGGGGCUGGUGGGCAGAGCACGGUGGAGUCUCUUGGACAGGCUGCUUUGGGGGCAAUAGUCAGCACUCAGGGCGAGGCUGAGACCGGCAAACUCGUGUCAGGCGACUGGCUGGGUGAGCUCCCCACAGCCUCAGAGCUGGGUCUCUGGGGGCUGUCACCCCAUGGGAGCUCCCGGGCUGCAGCGGGUGGAGAGCCAGUGGCAGCUGCCUGUGUCAGCAGCGGGGCGGGGGGGGAGGGCUGUGGUAUACAUUGAAAGGGUGCUCCAGAGGGGGUCAGGGAGUGACGUGUGUCACCCAGUAACCCCCGUGGGCUCCUGGCUCCCAUGGGCGUCAGCAAGGGGCCCGGUUCUGGCUUGUGGGAGGCAGGGGAGUGGCGGGGAGCAGUCCAGAGUCCUUGGCCCUGUGAGUCCCUGUGACUGCUGCAGAGGGACAAAUUCUCUGUAGCUUUUUUAAGCCUUUGAUGCCCACAGUUCCAGUCCCACACAUGCCAAGCCCAGUGCCAGCCCCUGCCCCACUGCUGGGCUCAGAAAGCCUCAUGUCUGAUGGGGUUUGGCCCCUCACUCCCACCCUUUGCCCCUACUGCCCACGUGCUGUCGUGUGCCAUGGCCUGUGGCUGCUCUCCGCGGUGCCGCCUGUGGACGCUUGGCUUUUCAGUCACUUCAAUAAAACCGAAAACCGAAGCAAUGCUGCCUCCUGCUGGCUUGGCGCUCUGGGGCCAGAUCUCCGCUGCUGCAACUCCUCGGAGGUGUCCGUGGCUCUGUGCCAGCUGAGGCUCUGCCCCGGAGCAUCUGGGCCUGCGGGGUGCGGUCUGUACUUGUCUCUCCGCUUGGGGGAAGGUCAGCCAGCAGGCGCGGCGCCCCCCGGAGCCGUCUCCCUCUGGGGUGCGCGAAGAGCGCUCUAGUUUGAUUGCACUCGCGCUGCGUCCCCGGCACCGCUGCCAGGACCCGGCCCCUCAUGGGAGGUGCAGUCAGGGAAUCCUGCAGGGUCUGGCUGAGCCCACAUGGCCAAGGCUCAGCCCGGCUGGGUGUAUCGGCGGCCCCUGCUGCUCAGAUCAUGCCCCCCCCCCAUUACUGCCGCCGACGCGUCUCCCUCCAGCGCCAUCCAUGCGUUAAACCUUCCCCAUCCCCCACCCUUCCAGUGAGCCGAUCUCUAUUUUGCAGAUGGGUAAACUGAGGCACAGAAUGGCUGCAGUGACUGACCCGUGUCUCAGGGCCCAGCCCCGUGCAUGGGCGUGCUGCUACGGGCCCUGAGCUGCCCCGCUGUGUGGGGCAGGAGCAGCUCCCUCGGGAUGAGACACUCCAGCGAAGAAAGACGGUCUGUGUUGACUCCCAGGAGCCCCGGCCCUUGCCUUGUGUCCCCAGCUCUGCUGCUGACGCACCGCGUGACCUUGGAAAAGUCCGCUGCAUCGUUACGGGCGGCCUAAUUUGCUCAGCGUGGUCAAGAAUGCAAAGAUGUUUGAGUGGGGGGGGGAAUGAAGAAUGGUACGGAAAUGCAGCCGUGUCGUUCUAGAAAUCAAUGGGGCGGCCUCCAUUCUGUGCCAGUCUGGGCACCCCGGCUCAUAGGGUCACAGGCAGGGGAUGAGAAUGAUUAAGGGCCUGGGGAGGCUUCGGGGAUGAAGGGAGCCUGGACAGCCUGGGAUCAGGUACUUUAGAGAGGGGGUAAGUAAGAGAGGAUGGGACAGGGAUACAAAGUAAGGCCUGGGAGAGAGAAGGGAGGCCCGGCUUGACCCCAGAGCACCCGGAGCAGGGGCUGGCCAAUGAACUGCAAAGCAGCACCAUGCAGGGGUAGCUUGUGGGACUCACUGCCACUAGAUAUCACUGCGGCCGAGGACUUGGGAGGCCUUUACAUGGCUGGAGCCAGGACCCUGAGGAUUUAAAAACAAACACAAAUCCUAAUAGCGUUUGCAAUGGAGCUGAAUGUUCCUAUCUCAGGGCAUGGCCCAGCCUCUAAUAGGGUUGGAGGAGAAUCCCCCUGGGGCCAGCUUAUCCCAUAAGGGGCUGGGGAAGGGGGGUGUCUUGCAUCUUCCUCAGAAGCACCUGGUGCAGAGGCGGGAGCCCCGUGGGCUCUGGCACUCCGAACGCCAGCUGGGAUGGCGACAGCGUGGCGAGUCCAGCUCCUUCGGGCCGCCCAGGGCGGGGACAGCCGCGGGGGGAAGGAGCUGCGAUGCGGGCAGCCGAUUCUCGUGGGGUCUGUAAUUAUCACAAGAGAAACUUCCCGCAACUCUAAUGAGACCUGUGUUAUUGUCAAGUAUGUAAUUGGUCUCCUGGGGGCUGGCCGGAGCCUCCAAGCGGGUAAAUGUUCUCCCUGGCAGGAGUAAUUUGCUACCUACUAAUAAAUGAUUUGUGGGUGCCGUUUCCCCCCCCCCGAACGUCCCCAGGUCCACGUGUCACGGCUGCAACGUGCGCGGAGAGGGCCUGGCGAAAGAUCGGCCUUGGUGCAUGUGGGGUGGUUAAACUCUCCGAAAUGCACAGCCCCUGCCCGACUGCCUAAUACGCGGGCGUUGGAUGAGAUUUCAGAAUUGUGGACAUUGCACCCUUCCCAGCUCAACGGGGAGACAGGGAUCAAUACACGGAGCCCAUCUCCUGCCCACAGGCUUGGAACCCAGAGCUGGCACCUCAUCGCCUGUGGGAGAAUCAGGCCUCGUCUGCUGCCUCUGCCGGAGAUUUAGCCAGCAGCCGAUUUCUCUCGGGAGGUGACACCCGCCCUGGUCUGCCGGCGUGGGAACGGUGGGAGCUCCCUGCCUUGCCUCCAGCUCCUCUUCCCCAGGCCUGAGCUCUCCCAGCUCUGCCCUCGGGGCGGUGGAAGAUGCUGCGAGAUGCUCCCCGGAAGGAGCUAGUGCUGAGCGCCGGCUUCAGGCCGCUUGGGGACCUCAUCAGCUUGGCCUGGACUCUCCUUUGCCGCGCGAGUCCGCCCGUGUUCCCGAGCCGCUCCGGCAGUGGAACCCGCCCUGCCCUGUGGCCCUGAGUUCUGGGGAAUCUUCUGAGUCUCUAAAGCUGGUGACCAACUGCAGCGCUCCUCAAAGCGGGGGCCUCAGGGAGCCAGACAGUCUGAGCAAGGCUUGGGCCAGCUCUGCCAACACCUCUCAAUUCUGCCCCGCAGCCCCCUCGUUAUCCCAGCCCUGG